AAAAGCUGAAAGAGUGUCCCAGGACUUUGCAUAUGUUCAAGGGGGUUGGAGACCUGAGGUCGGGGUGGGGGCUGAGAUCUCGAUCACCUCGAAUAUAUUAGUGUCCGCAUGAUGCAUGAGGCAUCCCUCCUAUUUGUCGUUGGCUCCCGACCUCGAGGUCGGCAAUAGAUCGAGAUGGAGGGUCGGGGGUCGACCGAUGCCACAGCA
rnacentral:lncRNA from 1 species